rnacentral:rRNA from 1 species
CAGCAGCCGCGGUAAAACAGAGGGUGCAAGCGUUAAUCGGAAUUACUGGGCGUAAAGCGCGCGUAGGUGGUUUGUUAAGUUGGAUGUGAAAGCCCCGGGCUCAACCUGGGAACUGCAUCCAAAACUGGCAAGCUAGAGUACGGUAGAGGGUGGUGGAAUUUCCUGUGUAGCGGUGAAAUGCGUAGAUAUAGGAAGGAACACCAGUGGCGAAGGCGACCACCUGGACUGAUACUGACACUGAGGUGCGAAAGCGUGGGGAGCAAACAGGAUUAGAUACCCCCGUAGUCCCUGUCUCUUAUAC